rnacentral:lncRNA from 1 species
AUACAGUCGGAGCCUGGGAUUUUUAUACACAGAGAUGGGGCAUAAAUAAGCAAAACAAAAAAUGCGCCAAUGCUUUGCCAGAAUUUCGUUGGUCCUCUCAAGAUUGUGGCGAAACCAAGAUUGAAUUUAGAGAUGUUUCAUAUGCUUGGCCGUUGACACACCUCUCUUCAAGGCAAGGUCAUUUCCAAGGUGAGCUCAUCCUAAGUCACUCAGAUAUCAUGUUAUCCUCUUGCUGGAAGUUUAUUUGUGACAUCUCAGUCCAGCAUAAGCUUGUUUUGAGGGGAUGUCUCUUUUUUUGGUCGUUUAAGUUUGAUAGUCUUUGUAAUAGCAUUCUUACUAUAUCACCUGAAUUUCUAAUCUUAUGUUCCUGCUAUUAUGCUCUUGCCGCAGGUGAUUACAGCGCUAGGACCUACCCCUGAUAAGAACCAGGGCACCCGUUUAAACAGAAUGAUGACUGUGUGAGGCUUAAAAUAUCGCCAUCAUAUCAGGUAUAAUUGAAAACUUUUACAGCCCUCCAAGCCCUAUGGGCUGCGCCAGAACUUAGAUUUCUGAUCCCUGGCGUAAGUUCCUGUAGGUAUUGACAUUUAACCUUUGUUUACAACUACUAAAGGAAUGCAUAUGGUUGUCCUUAGCACUUAUAGUUGAUCUUUAUCUGAAAAUAAACGCCAUCUGUUUGCCAACUUUGCUUGGAACAGGGACAUGGAAAGAUGCAAGCGUUACUAUCUUGCAAGCUCGCUCUAAAAGACAAAUUUGAAUGGAUCUUUAAUUAGACAACGCAAAAACAUUUCCGUGUUUGUUGAACCCUGUGUACAGUAUUUCCUAAGCAAUCUCAAUCCAAUAUGUAUAAACUUCUACUUGUUUUUUAUAGUAAUUGUUAUUAUGCUUCGGCAGUUGACUCGUUAUUUGUCCUUUUACCAUGUCUGUCCGUUCAGGUGUAUUUAGACGUAAGGGUUUGUUUUUUGGGAAUUUAUUUAGACGUCAGGUUGCUUUCUGUACUUUGAUCUGCAGCUCAUGAGCCUUACGGGUUUGGUUUUUGGGAAUUUAUUUAGACGUCAGGUUGCUUUCUGUACUUUGAUCUGCAGCUCAUGAGCCUUACGUGGGUCCUAUAGGAUGACAUGUACUCGAUGUGUAGUUUCCAUUUUAUAUAUUUCACUCUUCCCUGGUGUUGUCUCUUACUGCUCGCACGGUUGAAAAAUCCAUUUUAUUCACAUGGUAUCACACGAUUCACACACCACAUUAUCUAGAUUUGUUCAAGUACUUGUGAUUUACUAAUGCAGGGGUGAUGCUGUCACUUCCAUGGUCCACCAGAAUGAAGAUCACACUCAGUGCUGCAAGGGGGCUUGCCUUCCUGCACGAAGCUGAGAAGCCAGUUGUCUACAUGGAUUCAAGACAUCCAACUUGCUCGAUGAGAUACCCAAACCGCGUUUAAUCGCUUCGAUGUUUACUUCCAUUCGUAUAGAUUCCGGACUCCUUAUACACAAAAAACAUUAGAGUGGUUCACAUAAAUGGUUCAGUAAACAGAAUGAGCACCUGUAAUUUUUCAUGAGGCUGAUUUUAAGUUCUCAAUUUAUUUGCCAUGGAUUGUUUGGGGCUUCUCUGAAAUAAGCUUACCUAUGCAGGAAAACAACAGGAAUGAGAUUAAUAGAUUUAAUGAAGAGAUAUGCCAGGAUUAGGCGGAGAUGAUGAAAGGCUUUGUAAAAGUCAGGUAUAAAUUUCGGACUUCCAAUUCUGAAUUAUCCUUUUGGUUGCUGGUUGUGGGCCUUCAAUUUUUUUAAUACAAAAUCAAAAGAUAAAUACACCAGUCAGAAUAUCUGUGUACCGUUGCUGUUUUCUGUAGAUCUAUCUUCAUAGCUCCUUUUUUUAAUCAAUCCAGUGUAGGUAUAUGGGUUGUCAUCAUACACAAAUUAGCUAGCUGCAUUUGAAAAACCUACCAAGCUUCACAGUAAGAUGGUUUGAAAAAAUUAUUAGUUUAUUUGCUCUGCAGAUAUGUUUUGAGAUUUCCAUAGAGCCGACCAAUGAAAUAACACUGGUUUAUACUCCCUCCGUCCCAAAAUAAGUGUCUCAACCUUAGUACAACCUUGUACUAAAGUUAGACAAAGUUGAGACACUUAUUUUGGGACGGAGGGAGCAUAACACAUCGUUUCUUCACAAUUUAACUACUACGGUCAUCGAAUCCUUGGAACAGGUAGCCAGCCAAGGUUGCUUCAGCCAAGGAUUGCGGAUGUUUUGUUUGGCUUGCAUUAAUUAAACCAUGCUUCCAGUUUUAAAGUACACUUGAGCCACAGUUCCUGAUAGUUCCAAGCUGAUGUUUGUUUCCCUUGCAUGAAUUGAACAUGCUACUCUAAAAUCAGAUAGCAGACAACUGUAGGUUUAUUUUUUUAAUUUAAGUAUAGUAGCUACUAGCUACUGUAUGUGCAAUGCGAGCAGGUUGUAAAAUAUGCAAACCCCUGAUGUAUACUAGGAAGUGUUUGUUCAUUAGUAUGGAAACAUGUGUCAUAGUGUCUAGGACCCGCCGGUGAGCUGAUCCACUCAUUAGUUUUCCACCUUUUACUUUUAGAGUUUAAUUUUGUCGUCCUUUCCUAUGGAUUUUCAUUAUUUAUGUUCUUUAUAUGUUCAAAUUGUAAAGGAGGUAAAAUGCACGUGUAUGUCCUUGAUGCAGAUCUCUGUGAUUUAUAUAUGUGCUCACGAGGACAUUCCCAUUGCAUCUGCUUUGACAAGUUGAAGAAUCUGGUCUUUUUGUGCUUGCCUACAGAACUGUCAUAUCUUAUAUUUGUUGGUCAAAUAAAAACGAAUGAUGGUUGAUUGUCUCGACUAUGAAUGAGCAUUUCUGGAUUGUAGAACAAAGAGGUGCCUUAUUAUCCUUUCUAUCAACUACAUGUUUGUCUCUACAUUUUCCUCGAGCAUAUUGGUUUCUAAUACCAUUUUUAAGCCCCGUGGAACCUUCGAAUGUUCGAAGAAACUUGCUCUCAGCUCUGUGUGAUCAAGUUUAUGUUUUUCUGUUGUACAGUGUCCCGGGCAAAAGGACCAAGAUUUGGCGGGUGGGCGUCGGGAGUCCAGUUGGUUGGCUUCAGCCUUUGAGGUGCUGCCGGCUAGCGGUGCCGCUUCUGAGUGUGUCCUCGUCUCACUCCCUUGGCACCUUCGGCCGGUAAGAUUUCCCCUUCUCUCUCUCUCUGACCGCCCGUCGAUUUUUGUUUAUUAAUCUUUCUUAUCCAUAAUGAUUAUCCCUCUUUUGUUUUAUUGUAUUGUUAGCCAAUUAAAAGUAUUUUAUUGUAGGUGUAUAUUUUUCUGUAUGGUAUAUAUUAUGCGAGUUAUUUCUAACACAUCUUCAUCAUAUUUUUAGAAUAGCUGCUCCUAUAUUUUUUUAGUGUCUGCUGUACUUUGUUUAAAUGUUUCUUCGUGGUAGGAUAAGUUGUAAAUAAUGGAUGAAGAAUACCUUUUCAAGCUUAAGCUUUUGAUUUCUGAUGAUGUGGUGUUUUCUCUUUGCAGAUGAUCCUUCUGCUUUCCUUUUUACUAAAUAGACAAGUUGGAUCCAGUGUGUCUCCAUGUGUCCAUGUGUGUUUUGGGUGAAUACGCAAUGAAACGCGGGAAAGUGGCCUCUAUUUGACAUUGUCGUGCUGAACGAUUCAUUCACAUGUCUGUAACUUUGUAUCUUGGUUCUGUUUCUAUUGUUAGUUCCAAAAGAUAUAUCCACUUCUUGGCGACUUUUAACUCUGUAACAUGUCUAUUCUUAGUGUAGAUAUACUUUUUAUUCUAGCUGCAUUGCUGUGAGCAGGCAGAUUUCUUAUGGGGAAUGGCGAUGAUUGCUUGAGCUUUCAUUUUGAUCCCCUUUGUAUCCCAAACAUAGUUUUCGCACAGUCGCUGUAUGUACUGGUUCCGGAUACUCCAUGUAGCGGUUUUUGUUUGUUUUUAUUCAUAUAAGUACUAGAUUCUCGUACAAAACAGAGAUGAACUGCACUAUAUGUUUACUGAUAUGUUGGGCCCAAAUAAAAUGUCUUCGUGCUUCACUUUUGGCUACUUUGAUUCUAAUGCACAUAUGUGCAUUCCUUUUUUUGUCAUUCACUUUGUUGUUCAUUUGAUUGUCCAUUUCUUCAUUUUUAAUGACAAAGCAUGUGUUUUUUUCUUUUCGAAUUAGCUUAAAAUCACAAUCAAAG